AUUGAACGCUGGCGGCAGGCCUAACACAUGCAAGUCGAGCGGAUGAAGGGAGCUUGCUCCUGGAUUCAGCGGCGGACGGGCGAGUAAUGCCUAGGAAUCUGCCUGGUCGUGGGGGAUAACGUCCGGAAACGGGCGCUAAUACCGCAUACGUCCUGAGGGAGAAAGUGGGGGAUCUUCGGACCUCACGCUAUCAGAUGAGCCUAGGUCGGAUUAGCUAGUUGGUGGGGUAAAGGCCUACCAAGGCGACGAUCCGUAACUGGCCUGAGAGGAUGAUCAGUCACACUGGAACUGAGACACGGUCCAGACUCCCACGGGAGGCAGCAGUGGGGAAUAUUCGACAAUGGGCGAAAGCCUGAUCCAGCCAUGCCGCGUGUGUGAAGAAGGUCUUCGGAUUGUAAAGCACUUUAAGUUGGGAGGAAGGGCAGUAAGUUAAUACCUUGCUGUUUUGACGUUACCAACAGAAUAAGCCCCGGCUAACUUCGUG
rnacentral:rRNA from 1 species